GUGCGUAAAAGAUCUCUUGCCGGGCGCCAACUGCAAAGACGGCGUGGUCUCAGCACCUUGAGUUGCAUAUUUCGAGUACAACGAUAUUACAGAAUCGUCGAUGAAACGAGGAGUUCUGCUUCCCCUAUCUGAGGCUCACACAGGCGGAGGUACACCGUACAAGGAAUUAAGUGGUUGCAGUAUGGAACGCAUGUUUGAUGACACGUCGUCCGCACUGGAGAGCAGCUGCGAAUUUCGUCAGCAAGAUCAGUCGGCCGGUGCAAGUGUUGACGAGUAUGUUGGCACACAUUGGAAGCCCGUAAAGGAGUGUAACUUCGUGACGGGGACUGAGGCUGUCACCGCCACAUCGACCCCGACCACGGCUUCAACAACAAUAACUCCAGGCAAAGCGUCCACCACCACGGCAGACCCUGUGCCGUGUAAAACUGUCAGCACCGAUCCCAGGGGUGAUACUGGUGCUUCAGAGAACACGCUUACUGUGCAGUCAGCCACCUCAACCCAGAAAGAAGCAAGAGAAGAAAUCCAACAGUCCACUCAUCAUAGACACGCUGAAUAUCCACUGCAAAAUUAUCUUUAUCUGAUCAGUCACAAAACUCGGUCUGGAAGGGCAGUCAAGAUGCCACAACGCUAUAAAGAUUUUGUAAUCGAAUAUAAAAGGAGGAGAUGCGGCGUAGUAGAAGAAUAGAGCAAUAUUCCACAAGGGUGUCAAUAUACACACCUAAAAGCGAGGCAGUUAUGAUAUAGGACGCAGCUACACCUAAAAGUUGUUUAGAACAGAGCAGAAGACAACCUUUCCCCGCGGGUGUCAUGUUAAGGGUGUUAAUAUAUACGCCUAAAAAUGGGUCAGUUGGUGUGAAUAAAAUACUUUUUGAAUUUGAAUUCUG